AUUGCUUCUUGGCCUGUUAGCUAAGAUCAAGUGUAGUAUCUGUUCUCAUCAGUUUAAAAACCCAUUAAGGUUUUAACAGCCUAAAUUUAAAAAUCCAU
rfam:Otolemur garnettii contig076215, whole genome shotgun sequence.